UGGGAAUUUCGGAUUUUACACAGGUGGUUGGAUGUUACACUCUGGAAAUGGAAGGAAGCUGCGAUGCAGUCCAGCUACUGGAGGUGAUCACUCCUUUUCAAGGCAAUGGAUGAGUUACAAAAGCAUACCAGAAGCAUCCCAGAAGCAACUCUCUGGUCACGUCAAGCUGCAAGGAGCAGCUAAGGAAGAUAUGUUGAUAUGCAGUCUGGAGGAGUCAGGAACUGAUCCAUCAACCUUCUGACUGGUAGACGAAUGACUGAGCCACAGCAGCCUCACAGUAUUUAAACAGUGUAUGCUUUAUUUCCCUUAUCUGCUCCAUUCAUUCAACAUUUUUCAUUAAUCUAUAACUCCAUUCAACAAUAUUCUAUACCAAUAUACUAUUGUGUAGUAUUGUGUAUUGUGUAGUACCAAUAUAAUAUUUAUGCACACCUUUUAGUAAUGAGUAAAGUAAAGGAUUACUAUUGCAAAAAAAGUAAUUAGAUUACUGUUACUUUCCCGUAAGCACACUGCCUUACUAAACUGUGAUUUUGUUUGUGAGAGUAUCUCAUGACACUGAUGUACGAGUGUGUGACAUCCGUGGCAGCAAAAAACGUGUGUAGAUCAACAAUGGAUAAUAUGGAGUGCGGGAGAGAGUACGACCAUGCAGCGUUUAAAGCAUGGACGUACUUGCACUACUGUAAGUUUAAUUCCGUAAAAAGUGAGAAAAACAUUAGCGUCCGCAGUACACUCUGUGUGGGAAGAAAACUUCUUUCUGCA